AGACUAAGACCGCUGAGGAAGUCUGCCAAAAAUGAUGUUCUAUAUUUUACCGGCACGGCUGUCCUCAGCGUAUUCUCACUGACCAGGGGCGAGAAUUUGUGAACACAAUGAACAGUAGACUCUGUGAUCUACUUUCAAUUCAAAGAAGCAUCACUGCCGCCUAUCAUCCUCAAACCAACGGCUUGGAUGAAAAGACAAAUGACAACAUUAAGCGUAGUUCAACUUUGGUCUUUGAAAGACUCAGGGCAAGUUGAAGCCCUUGUUGGCCCAUAUAAAUUGUAUGACACAUCUUUUAGAACACUCUGUGGACAUGGCUGGCUGUCAGAUGAAGUUAUAGAUGCAUAUUUGUAUGUGACACUUCAGAAGACCAAGAUACCUGUAUACAGAAUGGAUGCAGUAAUUGCAUCUUCUGUAUUUCAUCUUGGGCAAUAUCGGGCUGUUCAAAAGAUGGUUUUACCUGAAGCCUCCAUUUGGAUGUGCCCUGUAAAUGUGGGAGGUCACUGGCUUUUGGUGAUUGUCGUGAUGAAUCACCAAGAGCUAGUAGUUAUAGACCCUAUGGGGAACGAAACAAUGUAUGACAGAAAGCUUCUCCGUAACUGGAGAAACUUCCUAAAAGCAAAAGGUGCUGGCCGGAGAAGCUGGAGUGUCCGCCAUAUGCCGCAUAUGCUGCAGAAGGACUCCAGCAGUUGUGGGGUCUUGGUUUUGAAGUUUGCAGAAACAUAUGUUCAAAUGGGAGGGCUGCAGGCAGUGCAAACAGGACCCAAAGACAUAUCCCAAGCCAGACUGCACAUCGCUACCACACUGUAUCAACAUCGAGGUGAAAGAACAAUUACAAAGAAGUCUUGUUUUCCAGUUUGCUGGCUGAAUGUUCAGAGAUUUAUAGCUUUGGACAGCUAUGAUUCUAAGAAUUGUUUGGUCAGAGCACAUGAAAUUUUAUUAAUGUUGGGUAUUAAGAACCAGUUCCACUGUUCUGGGAACUGUGGAAGUCUGUGUGAAACCUGUUGAUCUGUUUUGUUAAUAUUCUAACAAUCAAAAACACAAGAUGGCUUAGGAGCAUAUCAACGAAUUUUUCAUUCCAAACGGAACAAAUUUACCCUUAGGCUAUACCGGAACAGUCCAAAGCAUUAAAAAAAUCCAAAGAUAUAUGACAUACUAAAUUGCAGUAUUUUCUGUUAUGUACUAGUAUAACAUGAUGGCUUGUCAACAGAAUAUAAAGAGGUAGUACUUGACUAUUUUUGGUAAAGUACACUCUAAAUGCCUUUAUUUGUUCCCAGACAAGGUGGAAGAGUACUGUGUGGAAUGCAAUAUGCUUCACUGUAAUGCUUCAGAGAACAUCAUUGACAUGAUACAGUGUGACUGCUGCUCAAGGUGGACACACAAAGAAUGUGCCACAGACAUGGGUGACAUGUUCAAAUGUAAAAAGUGUAACUUAAAUUAAACAGUUUUACCCCACCAGUGACAGUGUGGAUUAUUAAAAAUACAGAAGUAAAAUGUUCUACAUUAAAUAUAGUACAUCAUACAACUGAUGUCAUUGGUAUUAAUCAGGAAGUCAUACAGUGGCUAAUAACAAAGUGUAUGGCAAUCAGACAGGUUAAGGGAUGCAUCAGGAAGUCAUACAGUGGCUAAUAAAGUGUUAUUA